rnacentral:rRNA from 1 species
GACGAACGCUGGCGGCGUGCCUAAUACAUGCAAGUAGAACGCACAGUUUAUACCGUAGCUUGCUACACCAUAGACUGUGAGUUGCGAACGGGUGAGUAACGCGUAGGUAACCUGCCUGGUAGCGGGGGAUAACUAUUGGAAACGAUAGCUGAUACCGCAUAAUAUUGAUUAUUGCAUGAUAAUUGAUUGAAAGAUGCUAUUGCAUCACUACCAGAUGGACCUGCGUUGUAUUAGCUAGUAGGUGAGGUAACGGCUCACCUAGGCGACGAUACAUAGCCGACCUGAGAGGGUGAUCGGCCACACUGGGACUGGGACACGGCCCAGACUCCUACGGGAGGCAGCAGUAGGGAAUCUUCGGCAAUGGACGAAAGUCUGACCGAGCAACGCCGCGUGAGUGAAGAAGGUUUUCGGAUCGUAAAGCUCUGUUGUAAGAGAAGAACGGGUGUGAGAGUGGAAAGUUCACACUGUGACGGUAUCUUACCAGAAAGGGACGGCUAACUACGUG